UUUGAGCUACAAACUGAUAGCAAAUCAACCAUUUUGUAUAGCCAAAAACCCUGUGCAUCAUGAAAGAACUAAACAUGUUGAGAUAGAUAGACACUUCAUCUCUGAGAAGGUGAACAAUGGAGUUUCUAAACUCAAAUUUGUCUCUACUAAAGAUCAGCAAGCUGAUGUUCUCACCAAGGCCCUUCCAAGAGUUACAUUUGAUGAAAUUACAUCCAAGCUGAGACUCUACAAUAUAUACUCACCAGCUUAAGGGGGAGUGUAGGUUAUUACGAGUUUCUUUUA